rnacentral:rRNA from 1 species
UACAGAGGGUGCAAGCGUUGUUCGGAAUUAUUGGGCGUAAAGGGAGUGUAGGCGGCCAGAUAAGUCUUCUGUGAAAGCUACGGGCUCAACCUGUUAAAGUGCAGAAGAUACUGUUUGGCUUGAGUGUCGAAGAGGAUAGUGGAAUUCCCGGUGUAGAGGUGAAAUUCGUAGAUAUUCGCAAGAACACCAGUGGCGAAGGCGGCCAACUGGACCAAUACUGACGCUGAGGCGCGAAAGCGUGGGGAGCAAACAGG